rnacentral:rRNA from 1 species
ACGAACGCUGGCGGCGUGCUUAACACAUGCAAGUCGAACGAGGUCCAACCAGUGGCAACACUGCAGACGACCUAGUGGCGAACGGGUGAGUAACACGUGAGGAACCUGCCCCGAAGACCGGGAUAACCCUCCGAAAGGAGAGCUAAUACCGGAUGCCCCUCUACUGAUCGCAUGGUCGGUCGAGGAAAUGGAUUCCGCUUCGGGAGGGCCUCGCGGCCUAUCAGCUUGUUGGUGAGGUAACGGCUCACCAAGGCGACGACGGGUAGCUGGUCUGAGAGGACGAUCAGCCACACUGGGACUGAGACACGGCCCAGACUCCUACGGGAGGCAGCAGUGGGGAAUCUUGCGCAAUGGGCGAAAGCCUGACGCAGCAACGCCGCGUGCGGGAUGAAGGCCUUCGGGUUGUAAACCGCUUUCAGUGGGGACGAAAACAGACGGUACCCACAGAAGAAGCCCCGGCCAACUACGU